rnacentral:pre_miRNA from 1 species
AUAUAAAUCAUCUGGGGAUUGUGCUAAAAUCAAAUUCUGAUUCAGCACAUCUGGGGUAGCCUGAGAAUCUGCAUUUUCAACAAGUUCCCCAUGACAAUGAU